UACGGAGGGUGCGAGCGUUGUUCGGAAUUAUUGGGCGUAAAGCGCACGUAGGCGGCUUUGUAAGUCUCGCUGUGAAAGCCCGGGGCUCAACCCCGGGAGGCCAGGGGAUACUGCAAGGCUUGAGUCAAGUAGAGGUUGGUAGAAUUCCGGGUGUAGCGGUGGAAUGCGUAGAGAUCCGGAGGAAUACCAGAGGCGAAGGCGGCCAACUGGACUUGUACUGACGCUGAGGUGCGAAAGCGUGGGGAGCGAACAGG
rnacentral:misc_RNA from 1 species